CUGGAAAGAUAGAUGAACGCAACUUUUGAAUAACACACUACGAGUAAGAUGGUGUUUUUAUUCUAUCAUAAAUAAAUAUUCUACCACAUGAUCGGAUGAGUAUCACUGAACAAUUAAAAAGAAUCAAACAUAUUUUGUGGAUGCCAUCUUGAAAAUACUGUAUAUGUGUACUAAAGGAAAAAUAGUGAAUUUAUAUGUCAGUGAGUUUUUUUAAUAGAAUAUUACUUUAAAUUUGAGAAAUACAAUGAAACUUUUUUUAUGAAUGUAUCCUCAUAUAGACAUGUUGUAGAAAUCAACCCCACAUUAUACGAUCUUUACAAUAGAAAAAUUGAUUAAAAUUUCCUUUGGUAUAAAGUAGAUCAAGAAAAGGAAUGUAGUACAAUUAUUGAUCUAUGAAAAAUGUUGAAUCAUUUGUACUUGUAUCCCUAUUUUGUCUUGGUCAUAUUCACUUACUUCUGCGUCUUCGGCCUACUCCGCAACCUAUCUUUUUUAGUAACUACUCAGUCCAUGUUGUUGUUUUAGUUUAAUCCCAUCUAUCCUUUCUUCUUUCAUGCCCUCUUUCACUCUGUUUUGCCCGUCGCUUUCCAUCCCCCACUUCUAUCUCAUGAUAUUGUUGUAUCUUCCUUGAUGAUAUCAGUUUCUUCAGGAUCAUUCUACUUUAAUGUGGCUGGAUCAAUCUCUUUUGUUCUGUAAUAUUGCUCAUCAUUUUCAGUUCUUCAUUACAUUUUUAAAAAGCUUCUGAUUCAGAUGAACGCUGAGUUGAUAGUACCUAAGAGAUUGUCCUGAUCUAUUUACAUUUUGAAGAAAAAUCUCACAAAAAGCUUGAAGUUUUGUUACAAUGGUGUGGAUCUUGAAGCUCUGUUACAAUCAAAUCAUGUCAUCUCUGCUUAUUAUUAGUUCCAAGAGUUGAUUGUUUUGGGAGAUGAUUCAAGGCGCUAGUGAAGUUGAACGGUGGACUUAGAUAAUUUCAGGUGAUUGUUUAGAAAGAAUUUGAGUUGCCAAAUUCUUUGGUGCUUUCAUGAAAUUAGCAGUGAUACUAAUGGCUGAAAAUUCAGGACUAGCAUUGGAAGCAAUUGUCCAACAAAGGUUAGAACCGACAAACCAGAGGACUCCAUGUCCACAUCACAUAGUUCUGCUUUCUGGUGUUUUGAUUUUUGCACAUCCACAAAUACUUGCACAAAGAGAAAGUUAAUGGUCCAGAGGUAAUGCAACGUUUUAUGAACUUGCUGAGAGGUCACUAGAUGAGCCAGUUAAUGAUGGAAUGAAAGAGCAUAUAU